rnacentral:tRNA from 1 species
GCGAGAGUGGCGGAAUUGGCAGACGCGCUGGAUUUAGGAUCCAGUACCGCAAGGUGUGGGGGUUCGAGUCCCCCCUCUCGCACCA